AAUACAAAAAGUUUCAUUUGGUAUUUAUAUGAUAUUCAGCUAGUAUUAAUAUUAUUUCAGUUAGAAUAUCAAACUUUUCAGUUGGUCUUUUUAUUCUUUCAGUUAGCUAUUUAACUUUUUCAUUUAAGCAAACUAAAACAAUACAAUAAGAAGAACUUACUUCCACCUUCCUCUCCAUCUCCAUGAAGACCAGCUGUAACAGUCGUGUUUUUAAGCAGGUUUCAUUAAAAGAUAAUGAUAUUUUAUUACCUUAAAUUAUAUGUUAAACUAUUGUAAAACACCUUUGAAAAAGUGUAUUUUAAUGUCUAAAUAGAAUUUGUGUUUAAGAUAUAAUUUGAAAAAAAAAAACAAAAAAAAAAGAAGAACCUAUUUCUCUCUCUUUACGUGUCUUAGUAUUUUGCUGCCAAGUUGAAUAAAAUUUUGAGUUGUCAACACCAAAGCCUAAUCAGUUUUUUUUUAAGGGGUUUAGAUAUCUAGCAACUCAUUCUCAAACUCUAGAGAUUCAUCAACCAGAAUUGAAGAAACCCAAAACCCUCAAAUCCCCUCACUCCUGAUUCGUUUUCUCUCGCUGAAAUUUUUCUCUCUCUUCGGGUUUGCUGUUAUGAAGUUCAUCUUUGCUGUUGUUCUUUGUCGUCGGUACUUUGGCCGGCGUUUUGCCGCCAUUCCACCAUCACCAUUGUUGUUGGUUGCGACGUUGCCUGCGUUUGGUGGAGUUUCUCUCUCCUUUGCUUCGAGUUUUUAGUGUUGUGCUGCUAUUUUUUUUCUCUCUCCUCUGCUUUUGUGUUGCUGCUGUCGUUCGAAUUGGUGUUCCGGCGCCACCGCUGUUGGUGGUUGUCGUUGCAGCUGUUGUUUUUCUUGUUGCCGCUGCUGCCAUGGCUGUGUUGGUGCAUCGUUGUUCUUGUUGUUGCUGCUGCGACAUUGUUUUUAUGUUUCCUCCAAUGUUCCUCACUCGAUUCAUAAGAAAAUCAAUUCUGAUUUUUGCAAGGUAUAAUCUAGAUAUAUGUCUUUCCCUUUUCUCAUAUUUAAUUUCAAGAAAUAGUUAUGAGUAUAAGAGUUUGUUUAAAUGAGUUUUUGAAUUAAGUUCUGAGGAGAAUUAUUUCAAAGUUGAUGUAAUAUAGAUUGUGAAUUGUCACUAUGGAAAUCAAUUCGGUUAUGGAUUUUAAUGAAAAAAAUGCAAAGCUGGAUUGUUAUUGUUUUGAACUUUCAUUGUCUAAGUUCUGAAAGAAACUUUGUUUGGGAAUGAUUUUUUUUUUGUCGAUGAUGUUAAUGGGACUUUGAUUAGUUAAGUCAAGUAAUUCAGGUUGAGAUGGUUUAGUAUUAGGAGUAUAUAUGUUUGAGAAUUAUUAAGUAUGAGUAUUGAUAGUUGGUAUUAUUGUUGAGGUGUAUUUCGAAUGUUGAUUGAUGAAUGUCAAAGAGGUUAAAGAAGCUUGGAGGUUCUCGGUUAUUGGAUGGGAGAUUAAGAAAUUAGCUUUCGUAUGAGGUUCUUGAGUUGGAAGCUCCGAAUGGAUCAUAAAGGAAAAGUUUGGUUGUUAAGUUGUAAUUAGAAGUAUUCAAGUUCUUAGUGCGUGAAAUAUUUAAUAUUGUAUUGUUUCGGGAUUCGAGUAAAGUAUUAUAAAAUUAGAUAUGUAUCUUAUGGAUGAUGUGUUGUGGGCCCUGACCCACAGGUCCAGGAUCAUUUUAAGGUUUAUGUGUUCCGCUGCGAGUAAAUGUAAUUCGAGAUUAUUAAGCGUUAAUUGUGAUUAGUGAAUGUUAAGUAUAAUUAGCUAGCAGCUUGGAAGUGCGGGCUGUUACACCAGCAUCCUUAUCUCCUA